rnacentral:piRNA from 1 species
UGGUACUUGGAGACUGGCCAUUGCACUCAGU